rnacentral:rRNA from 1 species
AGCGAACGCUGGCGGCAGGCUUAACACAUGCAAGUCGAGCGCCCCGCAAGGGGAGCGGCAGACGGGAGAGUAACACGUGGGAACAUACCUUUUGGUUCGGAACAACUGAGGGACACUUCAGCUAAUACCGGAUAAGCCCUUACGCGGAAAGAUUUAUCGCCGAAAGAUUGGCCCGCGUCUGAUUGGCUAGUUGGUGAGGUAACGGCUCACCAAGGCGACGUUCAGUAGCUGGUCUGGGAGGAGGAUCAGCCUCGCUGGGACUGAGGCACGGACCAGACUCGGACGGGGGGGAGCAGUGGGGAAUAUAGGAGGAGGGGGGCAAAUGUAGUCCAGCCACGUGGGGGGAGUGAGGAAGGCCUUAGGGUAGUAAAGCUCUUUUGGACGAGAAGAUAAUGACGGUACCGGGAGAAGAAGCCCCGGCUAACUACGUG